CAGUAGGGAAUCUUCCACAAUGGACGCAAGUCUGAUGGAGCAACGCCGCGUGAGUGAAGAAGGUUUUCGGAUCGUAAAGCUCUGUUGUUGGUGAAGAAGGAUAGAGGCAGUAACUGGUUCUUUAUUUGACGGUAAUCAACCAGAAAGUCACGGCUAACUACGUGCCAG
rnacentral:rRNA from 1 species